rnacentral:rRNA from 1 species
GUGUCAGCAGCCGCGGUAAUACGAGGGAUCCUAGCGUUGUUCGGAAUCAUUGGGCGUAAAGCGUGUGUAGGCGGCCAUGUAAGUCAGUUGUGAAAGCCCCGGGCUCAACCCGGGAAGUGCUUCUGAUACUGCGUGGCUUGAAUGUUGGAGAGGUGAGUGGAAUUCCAGGUGUAGUGGUGAAAUACGUAGAUAUCUGGAGGAACACCGGUGGCGAAGGCGGCUCACUGGCCAUACAUUGACGCUGAGACACGAAAGCGUGGGGAUCAAACAGGAUUAGAUACCCGGGUAGUCC